UAGACACGCAGGGGACUCAAAUCGGAGUUGUAACGAAGAAAUUGCGAUGAAAAAUUGACAAGGACAAAAUUGUAAUUUUUGAAAAGUAUAUUUAUUUUAAAUUACCUUGGAUACCCAAGGUUGCCUUCGGAAUGCAUGUUGCCUUCGAAAUAAAAGUUACCUUCGAAUAAAUUGGUUGCCUUUGGUUUAAAGUUGCCUUCAGAUAUGAUGAUGUCCACAGACAUCCUAGUUGCCUUCG
rnacentral:lncRNA from 1 species